GACGAACGCUGGCGGCGUGCUUAACACAUGCAAGUCGAACGGAAAGGCCUGCUUUCCCUUGUGGAUUGCGGGUACUCGAGUGGCGAACGGGUGAGUAACACGUGAGUGAUCUGCCCCCAACUUGGGUAUAAGCCUGGGAAACUGGGUCUAAUUCCCGAUAGGACUGCAGGGUGGUGCCUGUGGUGGAAAACGAUUUUCUAGUGGUUGGGGAUGAGCUCGCGGCCUAUCAGCUUGUUGGUGGGGUAAUGGCCUACCAAGGCGGCGACGGGUAGCCGGCCUGAGAGGGUGGACGGCCACAUUGGGACUGGGAUACGGCCCAGACUCCUACGGGAGGCAGCAGUGGGGAAUAUUGCACAAUGGGCGGAAGCCUGAUACAGCGACGCCGCGUGGGGGAUGACGGCCUUCGGGUUGUAAACUCCUUUCGACCGCGAGGAAGCCACCUGGUUGGAAGGGUGGUGACGGUAGUGGUAGAAGAAGCACCGGCUAACUACGUG
rnacentral:rRNA from 1 species